UACGAAGGGAGCUAGCGUUGUUCGGAAUCACUGGGCGUAAAGCGUGCGUAGGCGGCUUUGCAAGUCAGGGGUGAAAUCCCAUAGCUUAACUAUGGAACUGCCUUUGAAACUGCAAAGCUAGAAUGUGAGAGGGGAUGGCGGAAUUCCUAAUGUAGAGGUGAAAUUCGUAGAUAUUAGGAGGAACACCCGUGGCGAAAGCGGCCAUCUGGAUCACAAUUGACGCUGAUGUACGAAAGCGUGGGUAGCAAACAGG
rnacentral:rRNA from 1 species